rnacentral:rRNA from 1 species
UACGAAGGGGGCUAGCGUUGCUCGGAAUCACUGGGCGUAAAGCGCACGUAGGCGGAUUGUUAAGUCAGGGGUGAAAUCCUGGAGCUCAACUUCAGAACUGCCUUUGAUACUGGCGAUCUCGAGUCCGGGAGAGGUAAGUGGAACUGCGAGUGUAGAGGUGAAAUUCGUAGAUAUUCGCAAGAACACCAGUGGCGAAGGCGGCUCACUGGCCCGGUACUGACGCUGAGGUGCGAAAGCGUGGGGAGCAAACAGG